UCUGCUGUUAAUUUCAAUUUC
rnacentral:piRNA from 1 species